rnacentral:rRNA from 1 species
CAGCAGUGGGGAAUAUUGCACAAUGGGGGAAACCCUGAUGCAGCCAUGCCGCGUGUGUGAAGAAGGCCUUCGGGUUGUAAAGCACUUUCAGUAGGGAGGAAGGUAGUGUAGUUAACACCUGCAUUAUUUGACGUUACCUACAGAAGAAGCACCGGCUAACUCCGUGCCAGCAGCCGCGGUAAUACGGAGGGUGCGAGCGUUAAUCGGAAUUACUGGGCGUAAAGCGCAUGCAGGCGGCCUGUUAAGUCAGAUGUGAAAAGCCCGGGGCUUAACCUCGGAAUUGCAUUUGAAACUGGCAGGCUAGAGUCUUGUAGAGGGGGUAGAAUUUCAGGUGUAGCGGUGAAAUGCGUAGAGAUCUGAAGGAAUACCAGUGGCGAAGGCGGCCCCCUGGACAAAGACUGACGCUCAGAUGCGAAAGCGUGGGGAGCAAACAGGAUUAGAUACCCUGUAG